GCCUGAGUAGCUCAGUGGAAGAGCAGUGGCCUUCUAAGCCAAAGGUCGUAGGUUCGACCCCUGCCUCAGGCACCA
rnacentral:tRNA from 1 species